rnacentral:rRNA from 1 species
CCUACGGGAGGCAGCAGUGAGGAAUAUUGGUCAAUGGACGAGAGUCUGAACCAGCCAAGUAGCGUGAAGGAUGACUGCCCUAUGGGUUGUAAACUUCUUUUAUAUGGGAAUAAAACGUUCCACGUGUGGGAUUUUGUAUGUACCAUAUGAAUACGGAUCGGCUAACUCCGUGCCAGCAGCCGCGGUAAUACGGAGGAUCCGAGCGUUAUCCGGAUUUAUUGGGUUUAAAGGGAGCGUAGGUGGAUUGUUAAGUCAGUUGUGAAAGUUUGCGGCUCAACCGUAAAAUUGCAGUUGAAACUGGCAGUCUUGAGUACAGUAGAGGUGGGCGGAAUUCGUGGUGUAGCGGUGAAAUGCUUAGAUAUCACGAAGAACUCCGAUUGCGAAGGCAGUUCACUGGACUGCAACUGACACUGAGGCUCGAAAGUGUGGGUAUCAAACAGGAUUAGAUACCCUUGUAGUC